rnacentral:rRNA from 1 species
CCUCGUUUAACGAGGCUCCCUCGACGCGACCCCAGGUCAGGCGGGACUACCCGCUGAGUUUAAGCAUAUCAAUA